rnacentral:rRNA from 1 species
AUGAAGAACACCAAGCUUGUGGCGAUCCUUCUCCUCCAUGCCAUCCUGGUCAUGGGAAUCCUUGCACACGUGAAUGCCAACUACUUCCCCAAGUGUUGUGACAAAUGUAGGUCGUUCUCGGGGGUUGACAUAUGUGACGACGCCCAUCCUCAGUGCCCCAAGGGCUGCUCCACAUGCCGCGCGGUGCAGACGGGCCGUGUCAAGACGUUCCGAUGUGCCGACAUGCGCUCCACCAUCAACGGCACGUGCGGCCCACGCUGCAAGAAGAACUGA